rnacentral:rRNA from 1 species
GCACUUUGCCAACUCGUACGAGGAAGUAUAAGGUGUGACGCCUGCCCGGUGCUCGAAGGUUAAGAGGAUGCGUCAGUCGCAAGAUGAAGCGUUGAAUUGAAGCCCGAGUAAACGGCGGCCGUAACUAUAACGGUCCUAAGGUAGCGAAAUUCCUUGUCGGUUAAAUACCGACCUGCAUGAAUGGCGUAACGAGAUGGGAGCUGUCUCAACCAGAGAUUCAGUGAAAUUGUAGUGGAGGUGAAAAUUCCUCCUACCCGCGGCAAGACGGAAAGACCCCGUGGACCUUUACUACAACUUAGCACUGCUAAUGGGAAUAUCAUGCGCAGGAUGUGGGAGGCUUUGAAUUAAGGGCUUUGGCUCUUAUGGAGCCAUCCUUGAGAUACCACCCUUCCUGUGU